rnacentral:lncRNA from 1 species
UUCUCAAUUUAUUUUGUAAAAUUCUUAAUAAAGAAUAAUCUCUCCUUCUUUCCACAUAUUAAGGUGCAGCUCAAAAGAAGAUGAUGGCUACCAGAAGAACAUGAACAAAGGGUAAGUGGCAUUAAACUUCCGAAGAACCUUUAUGUGCUUAUUGACCCAUGCCCAGGAGGCACACCGGGCUGUGACACCACUGGAGACAGAGCCAUCUUCUGCAGUAUGUCUAAAGCUGUAACUCGGGUGGAGGAUGUUGGGCAGCAGCAGUUGCAAUCAAUAAAGUACGCUUAAAACUUACUUUGCCUCCUGUCUUCUAUUGUAUGGCAUUUAUAUUGCUUACAAAUGCCAUAACGCAAAGCUGCUAAAUAUAUGAGCAAUUUUUAAAUACACUAAAAGCAAAAUACAGUUAUUUGAAUGGGGUUAGGUAUUAGGUAUUAAAGAAUCUGUGGAAAAAGUCUUCUUGAAUAUGUGUAAAAACGGAGCUGUUGUCUUUUGUUAAGUUGCCCCUCCUGGUUCUGGAAGCCCUGUGAGUGCCAAAGAAUUCAUGUGGAUUUUGCUUUGAUUUUCCUUUGUCUUUUUUUUUUUUUUAAAAAUGUUUUAUAGGGAGG